CGGCCGCGGUAUUUUGACCGUGCAAAGGUAGCGCAAUCACUUGUCUUUUAAAUAGAGACCUGUAUGAAUGGCUAAACGAGGGCUUAACUGUCUCCCCCUUCAAGUCAGUGAAAUUGAUCUAUCCGUGCAGAAGCGGGUAUAACCAUACAAGACGAGAAGACCCUUUGGAGCUUAAGGUACAAAAUUCAACCACGUUAAGCAACUUAAUAACAAGCAAAAACUUAGUGGAAAAUGAAAUUUUACCUUCGGUUGGGGCGACCGCGGAGGAAAAACAAGCCUCCGAGUGGAAUGGGCCAAACCCCUAAAACUAAGAGAAACAUCUCUAAGCCACAGAACAUCUGACCAAAAAUGAUCCGGCCAAUAAAGCCGAUCAACGAACCAAGUUACCCUAGGGAUAACAGCGCAAUCCUCUCCCAGAGUCCAUAUCGACGAGGGGGUUUACGACCUCGAUGUUGGAUCAGGACAUCCUAAUGGUGCAGCCGCUAUUAAGGGUU
rnacentral:rRNA from 1 species